UACGUAGGGGGCAAGCGUUGUUCGGAAUUACUGGGCGUAAAGGGCUUGUAGGUGGCCAACUAAGUCAGACGUGAAAUCCCUCGGCUUAACCGGGGAACUGCGUCUGAGACUGGAUGGCUUGAGUGUGGGAGAGGGAUGCGGAAUUCCAGGUGUAGCGGUGAAAUGCGCAGAUAUCAGGAAGAACACCAAUGGCGAAAGCAGCUCUCUGGGACGGUACUGACGCUGAGACGCGAAAGCGUGGGGAGCGAACAGG
rnacentral:rRNA from 1 species